rnacentral:rRNA from 1 species
AACGUAGGAGACAAACGUUAUCCGGAGUUACUGGGCGUAAAGGGCGUGCAGGCGGUCGACUAAGUCUGGCGUGAAAGCUCUCGGCUAAACCGGGAGAGGUCGUCGGAUACUGGUUGACUAGAGGACGGUAGAGGCGUGUGGAAUUCCGGGUGUAGUGGUGAAAUGCGUAGAGAUCCGGAGGAACACCAGUGGCGAAGGCGACACGCUGGGCCGUACCUGACGCUAAUACGCGACAGCAUGGGGAGCGAACGGG